AAUUGAAACCAAAAAGAGGUUUAUCACUGUUAAUGAUAAUAAUGAAAUAAUCCA
rnacentral:tRNA from 1 species